UGAAAGGAAGUCAGAAAGCAUCCAUUA
rnacentral:piRNA from 1 species